GCAGAGUGUCUUCCCCAUGGUACCAUGGCUGGGAAUUAGAGCAUCAGGUGUCCUUUACCAGGACAGGCAGUGUGGUGAUGGGGGCGGAGGGAUAGAUGGGAGGAGGAUAGAAAGGAGAGGAAUAAGAGGGGAGGAGAAGGAGGACGGAUGAGAGAGAGGGCGAGAAAACAAAGAAAUGGGUGGUAUAAGCAUCCGAGGUUGUCUACAGUCCCAGAUACUUAGGUCAAAAAGAACUGUCCUUGGAUCUGGGGACAGAGGUGCAGUCCUGCUUCCAGCACUAAUAAGCACUGUGAUCUUGGGAGAGUCACCUAGCUGGCCUGUGCUUGAUUUUUCUUUUGUAAUCUAACAGCAUGGUAGUCGGUGGGCUCUAAGCUUCUCCCAAGCCCGUGAAUCUCUGUGAAGCUGAAGAGAAGACCUGAGGCUUUGGGAGUCCACUCCGUGAACCCAAAUUCCCCAGGGAUGUGCUUGGCAAAAUCCAAGAUGGGUUUCUGGCUGAAGCUGUGCCGUGGGCUGCCAUAUUUGUGGGCCAUCCCAUCUGCAGUCAGCCGCAGCGACCUCCUUGUUUGUCCAGCCAAGCGGAGGGACCGGAAGGCAAGUGGAGGGACCGGAAGGCAAGCGGAGGGACCGGAAGGCAAGCGGAGGGACCAGUAGCGCUGUCAUUGCUGAUGCCUCUGCUUUUGGAAUUCGGAUCAUAAACUGACUGACAGCGUUCUUCCUGUUUCUUAAGAAAGCGAUUUGUUUUACUGUCUUCUGUGUUUGCAAGCAGAAAUAAACUUAGACAAACAAAAGGACAAUUGAUUCUAGAAGAGCAACUUAGCAAGGAGUAUUUGAAGAAAAGUAUUGCCUUAGAAAUAAGGAUGUCAUGUAGUUAGUUUUACAUUAAAAGUUCUGCCAUAUUGAUUAGGAUUUAGAAAUAAUAUAUGAAGAGUUUUUCCUGAGUAGCAACAUAGGAACACCAGAACUCUAAACAUUGUAUUCAUCAUUCUUCAUCUGAUUUUUUUCCAAAAUCUUUUUGCUCCCUUUGAUUUCUCUUUUUUUUCUGCUCUUUCAAAUGCCUAGACAGAGCCAUAUUGGUUAGGCCAGUAUUUACAUAUCACAUGCCCCUGACGUGGGUUUAAUGCCCUGUAGUGUUUGAUGCUGGGGUCUGGGAAAGGAUGGAGCAGGUAGCUGCCCACCGAGACAACGAGGCCCAUGCAGUUAUCAUGGAUUUUAUUUUUCUCUUUCAUCACUUCGCCAGGGUUGCCUCUUUAAAAUAUCUACUUCCUGGGGAAUGUUUCCCUGACUCUUAUUUCAAAUCUAAUACUUUGUGUUUGAGUCUAAACACAAUUCAGGGAAUACAGCUAUUGAAACCAGAACUUCAUUUUGUUUAACUAGCCCAGAGCGCAUGAUGGCUUUGGAGCAGAGUUGAGAACAGGCACAGAGGAGCAGGAGCCAUAGGAACACCAGUUGGUGCCCCUCCCUUGUCCUUCCACUGACCUCUCUGCACCUAUCUUACCAGGGUGUGAAUGGAGCAUUCUGUAGCCAGACACAUCCAACUCACAGCAAAAACCUCCAUACAAGCUUGCCUGUGUCCUCAGACAUUCUAUCCUUUAUUUCUCCUCUUGUUCUUUGCCCCUAAGUUUGCCCACGCACCCAAGACUUUCUAAUGGGCCAUGUUGUGUGUGUGCAUGUGUGUGUACACGAACAAGCACUUUGUGGAGGCCCUGAAGGCAGCACGUAAGGUGGUAACGCAGCAGACAUCCUGCUUCAGGUUUCAGACAUUGUUAGGCCGAAGCUUUUAUUGGAGGUCAAGGCAGCAAAUAAAGUGGGCUGUGCAAUUAAAAGAGCAUUCAGCAGAGAAGGAUGGCUAACUCUCUCGGCAGGCUGAGAGCAGAGGAAGCGGUUGGCAGCUACUAGUCCUCUCGUGAUGGCUUUACGAGCAUUUUUUGCAGCCGGGGUGGUAAAUGUGAUACAAAGGCAUGGUUUUAAUAUACCCAACCAGGCGCUCUGCUUCCUGUGUGAGGCGUCUGCUUGGGGAAAGGAAGUUGCCCGGCUAUAGGCUUUUUGUGGUGGUGGUUUCCGCUAAUUUACCUUUUUUAUAGAGGGCUCAUAAUUAUUAGGGAUCCUCCAUAAUGCCCCUUUAUGGUGGUCAGGAAGGAGAUAACAAAAUGAUGAAGAGGUUUAGGAGACGUGCCCAGGGUCGCCCAGAAAACCUCUGGCUUCUGAAUCUCCAUCAGAGAUUUAAGAGGAUUUAUUUAUGCUGCUGUCUUGACCAUGUGGAUCUCCUUGACGCUGCGCUCCAUGAGAGUGGUUAAUGUCCUCUCUUGUUCACUUUGUUUUUUGUUCAGUGCCUGUGCACUGAGUAGAUUUCUGGCCUUUUGAAAAAAAAAAA
rnacentral:lncRNA from 1 species